GGUAAAAAAGCUCGUAGUUGGAUUUCUGUUGAGGACGACCGGUCCAUACAACGUAUGCGCAUCUGGUUCGGCCUCGGCAUCCUCUCGAAAGACGUUUCUGCGCUUGAUUGCGUGGAGCGGAUCUCGGGACUUUUACUUUGAGGAAAUUAGAGUGUUCACGGCAGGCUAUCGCCAGAAUACAUUAGCAUGGAAUAAUACUAUAGGAUCUUGAUUCUAUUUUGUUGGUUUCUAGAAUUGAGAUAAUGAUUAAUAGGGACAAUUGGGGGCAUUCGUAUCAACACGUCAGAGGUGGAAUUCUUGGAUUGUGUUGCGACGAACUACUGCGAAAGCAUUUGCCAAGGAUGUUUUCAUUGAUCAAGAACGAAAGUAAGGGGAUCGAAGACGAUUAGAUACCGUCGUAGUCUUUACCAUAAACUAUGCCAACUAGAGAUGGGGCAUCGUUCACUUACGACUUGCUCCGCACCUUAUGAGAUAUCAAAGUCUUUGGGUUCCGGGGGGAGUAUGGUCGCAAGGCUGAAACUUAAAGGAAUUGACGGAAGGGCACCACCAGGAGUGGAGCCUGCGGCUUAAUUUGACUCAACACGGGGAAACUCACCAGGUCCAGACAUAAUAAGGAUUGACAGAUUGAUAGCUCUUUCUUGAUUUUAUGGGUGGUGGUGCAUGGCCGUUCUUAGUUCGUGGAGUGAUUUGUCUGCUUAAUUGCGUUAAC
rnacentral:rRNA from 1 species